CCUUUUGCGGCCCAACCCUACCCUUGCCCGCCUGCUCCGCGCACAUGGAGCCCCGGAGCCUGAGGACGAGGACAGACCCAGCCCCUCCAGCAGCAGCAGUGACAGCGACAGCGAUAGUGACAACGCGGAUGAGGGCACUGAAUAUGAUGACAUCGUGGUCCACAGCAACCGGAGCCAAAGCCGGCCAUCUCCCAGUCCGCCCUCCAAACCUCGCCCCGAAGACCCCACCUCUGUCUGAUUUUUAAAUUGUUAAUAUAAUUUCCCAUUUAAUAAACUCAGUUCUGACACCUUGA